rnacentral:misc_RNA from 1 species
ACUCGGAAGCAUUUGUAAUAGUUCCUCUACAUUUCCUUUAUAUUAUUAAUAUCCAAAAUAACAGAAACAUAACAGGAUUAUUUAGUUAAAAUUAUAUCGUUACAUUGCACCUAGUAACACAACUGGUCUUAACUCCUAGAGUUUUUUUAUUAGAAAUUCAUUAAAUUUUGAAAAUCAAAUAUCAUUGCAAAUAUAAUUAUGCAUUUAGCGAAUGGUUCAUUCAUUUUUAAGUUGUUCAUAAAAAUGAUAUCAGUAAUGAGAUGAAGAUGGUUGCAAAGAAAAGGUUGCAUAAGUUCACUUAAUACCAUUACAUAAUAGAAUGGACAUUAAAUAAAGUUUCUUGGGGGUACCUUUACAAUAACUAGGUCUGGCAAUGUGUGUCAUGUCAUGUCUAAAUGGAUUGUGCCACUUUUUGACAUGAUAUGAUCAUACUCAACCCGAACACGACUUGAUUAUUAAUCGUGUCAUGAACUCUCAACACUAACAUAACCUGUUUUAUUAAACAAGUCACACAACCCAUUUAAUAAACAAGUUUAUUAAAUAAGUCACACGCCACGAUCCUUGUGACACAUUUAACAAAUAAGUUUAAACAGAUUGUGUUAAUUUAUUAAUGCAUUUAUUAUAAUAUUAACCCAUUUAACAUAAAAAAGCACUAGUUUGCAAACGAGCUACACAUUCUUUUAUAUGCAUGUACUUCUCCCUCCUCUUUGUUAAGCUAGCGAUAUGGCACUUUUGUUCGACUCCCACAUCUUAUUUUUUUACAUUAUUAUGAUAAUGUUAUUUAAAGAUUAUAGCUUUUAGUUUCAAACUUUAUUUAUAUAUCAUUGAAAAGAUUUUAUACAAGACUAUAAUGUAAAAUUAAAUUUUCAUAAUCUUUGUCAUUAUAGUUAUAAAUUUUAACAAAUUAAAGUUGAUUAAUA